AGGAAUCUGCCAUUUAGUGGGGGACAACAUUCCGAAAGGAAUGCUAAUACCGCAUACGUCCUACGGGAGAAAGCAGGGGAUCUUCGGACCUUGCGCUAAAUGAUGAGCCUAAGUCGGAUUAGCUAGUUGGUGGGGUAAAGGCCUACCAAGGCGACGAUCUGUAGCGGGUCUGAGAAGGAUGAUCCGCCACACUGGGACUGAGACACGGCCCAGACUCCUACGGGAGGCAGCAGUGGGGAAUAUUGGACAAUGGGCGGAAGCCUGAUCCAGCCAUGSCGCGUGUGUGAAGAAGGCCUUUUGGUUGUAAAGCACUUUAAGCGAGGAGGAGGCUACUUAGAUUAAUACUCUAGGAUAGUGGACGUUACUCGCAGAAUAAGCACCGGCUAACUCUGUGCCAGCAGCCGCGGUAAUACAGAGGGUGCGAGCGUUAAUCGGAUUUACUGGGCGUAAAGCGUGCGUAGGCGGCUGAUUAAGUCGGAUGUGAAAUCCCUGAGCUUAACUUAGGAAUUGCAUUCGAUACUGGUCAGCUAGAGUAUGGGAGAGGAUGGUAGAAUUCCAGGUGUAGCGGUGAAAUGCGUAGAGAUCUGGAGGAAUACCGAUGGCGAAGGCAGCCAUCUGGCCUAAUACUGACGCUGAGGUACGAAAGCAUGGGGAGCAAACAGGAUUAGAUACCCUGGUAGUCCAUGCCGUAAACGAUGUCUACUAGCCGUUGGGGCCUUUGAGGCUUUAGUGGCGCAGCUAACGCGAUAAGUAGACCGCCUGGGGAGUACGGUCGCAAGACUAAAACUCAAAUGAAUUGACGGGGGCCCGCACAAGCGGUGGAGCAUGUGGUUUAAUUCGAUGCAACGCGAAGAACCUUACCUGGUCUUGACAUAGUAAGAACUUUCCAGAGAUGGAUUGGUGCCUUCGGGAACUUACAUACAGGUGCUGCAUGSCUGUCGUCAGCUCGUGUCGUGCAGAUGAUUGGGUUAAGGUCCCGCAACGAGAGCGUCAACCUCUGUUUCCUUAUUUGCCAGCGGGUUAAGCCGGGAACUUUAAGGAUACUGCCAGUGACAAACUGGAGGAAGGCGGGGACGACGUCAAGUCAUCAUGGCCCUUACGACCAGGGCUACACACGUGCUACAAUGGUCGGUACAAAGGGUUGCUACCUAGCGAUAGGAUGCUAAUCUCAAAAAGCCGAUCGUAGUCCGGAUUGGAGUCUGCAACUCGACUCCAUGAAGUCGGAAUCGCUAGUAAUCGCGGAUCAGAAUGCCGCGGUGAAUACGUUCCCGGGCCUUGUACACACCGCCCGUCACACCAUGGGAGUUUG
rnacentral:rRNA from 1 species